CUCUGCCUUUUUUGCCUGUGAACUGCCUGUCUGCUGACAUCAGAAGUGGUGGUCUGAUCCAAUCACAAUGCUUCCCCAUAGGAUUGGCUGAGCCUAUCAAUGAGGCAGAUCAGGGGCAGAGCCAGCAUGAUUCAAACACAGCCCUGGCCAAUCAGCAUCUCCUCAUAGUGAUGACUUGAACAAAUGCAUCUCUAUGAGGAAAAUUCAGUGUCUGUUUGCAGGGGGAGGAGACAUUGAAUGGCAGUGCUGCACACUAGGCAGGACUACCCCAGGAAGCACCUAUAGUAGCCAUCUGAGGAGUGGCCAGUGGAGGUGUCACCAGCCUGUAAUGUGAACACUGCAUUUUCUCUGUAAAGACUGUCUACAGCAAAAAGCCUGAAGAGAAUGAUUCUACUCACCAGAACAAAUGCAAUAAGCUGUAGUUGUUCUGGUGACUACAGUGUCCCUUUAAGGUACCACUUUGCUGCAUGGUGUAACACAUAGUGGGUUGUAUUUGCUUUGGUUGUAAGCAGAGGUGUAACUAGAAAUCACAGCUCCCUGUGUGAAAGUUGUACGCACUCUCCACCAGCCCCUCCCUCAAUGAGUGGUCACUUGAUAUUUUGGUCACUUCAGAAGUUUAGUUUAAAUCUAAUGUCAAUUGCAUUACUAAAUCUACAAAAAUGUAUGAUCAAUGUUUAGUUUUUUUUCAAGACUUUAUUUUUCCUACUUAAACUGACAUCAGGACCACUACGGCUUAACCCCUUAAGGACACAUGACAUGUGACAUGUCAUGAUUCCCUUUUUAUUCCAGAAGUUUGGUCUUUAAGGGGUUAAAGGAAUGGUUCUGGUGCAAAGUGGCUGCAAGGACUAAUGCCUCUUUCUCAGAAAAGGCAGUGUUUACAUUGGGUUCCAAGGCCACCUCUAGUAGGUGUAACUUAUGACCACCACUAUAGGCUUUUCCUUAUGCAGUGCUGCAAACUGAGGCAUUGCUGCAGUGCAGCAAAUGAUUUGCAUGCACAUUAAUCUCUUAAUGGGAAGCAUUGGAUUGGCAGAUAUCAUUUGUAUGAUGUGAAGGAGUGACCAGAUUACUAAUAAUUAUUUCACUUUUAAAGGGGUGCCUAUAAAUCAAACUAGCUGGGUAAACACUUACAUUAAGAAUACAGGUUUGAGUUUUGUUGCAAAGAAGUCUAGAUAAACAAUCC